UUCUCCUAAUUUACUCACACACUCAGCCCUCACCAUAUACACAGACAGAAAGAAAAAGAAAGGAAAGAGAAAGGGUGGAGCUCGAAGAGAGGGGGGAGAAGGACAAGGAAGGAGAGGGGGAAAAGGAGAGACGGCGCCAGUGGGUGUCACCGCCACCGUCGCCGCCGUCGUAUCGCCGUCGGGAGAGUCAUAACGCGAGGAGAGAGAGAGCGCUGCAGCCACUGGAGAGGAGCCCUCCAGCCCUCGUCACUAUCAGCUCCAUCGCCGUCGUCACCAUUGGAUCUGCGUGAAACCGUCGUCCUCGUCGUCACGAUCGAUGCUUCUCCUCAUCGUUUAUGGGUUGUCACCUCUCCUGCUUCUGCUGUCACGCCAUCGUCUGCCCUUCUGGACUUUGCUGCUUUUGAAUCACACCCUGUCACUGGUUCUCUGCCUCCUUCUUGUGGCCCAACCUCUAAUUAGGUAACUCAAGUGUCUCUUGUUAUGUGAUUUUAGUUGAUUUGGUUUUUAUUUUGAUUUGAAUAUUGAUUUUGUAUAAUGCUGCCUGUUUUGGUCCCUAGUUCUCUGGCUGGAAGUGCAUUGAGUUACAUAAAAAGUAUAACUAGAUCAUUGUCAAGUUUUACAUUCAUGCCUUGAGUUUUCAAGACUCAACAAAAACAAAGGGUGUAGAGAAAACAUACAUAGUUGUCUUUGGAAUAGGACUAUUAGCUUAGCUAUUUUUUUCCUAGAUUUUGUACAAAAUGAUCGGUUUCCAAGUAAGUUAAAUGGCUUAAAAUGAUUUUCUAAUAGAGAUCUGAAUUUGGUAUUGUGAUAGAAAAAUUUGGUUGUUGUGAUAGAGAAGUUUGGUUGUUGCUUUGGCUUUGGAUAAGGGAAGCAUUGGAAGCUGGGAAGAGUUACUAUGGAAGGUUGCUGAAUUAUAAGAAGGAUGGAAUGCCCUUCUGGAACCUACUUACAAUUUCACCCAUCAAGGACGAAGACGGCAAAGUCUUCAAAUUCAUCGGGAAGACAUGAUGUGAAGAAAAUAUAUUCCAUACAAAUAUGACAUGGAAUGGGUCUUACACUUUAGUGAUCUAAAUGUAAUUUUUUGAUGUGUUCUGUACUUUUUGAAAAGAGACUUUACUCGGUAUUACAUGUAAUUGGAUAUAUUACACUCUAUUUUGAUUUCUGUUGUUUAGACUAAAAUUAAACAUAUCUAGUUUAUAAUGAAACUUUUAUGAUUUA